CAGCAACACAGACACACACGUACCUCCUUCUUUCUGCCUCCCCCCCUCCCCCUCCUCUUUGUGGUCUGCUGCAGCCGGUUCUAUUUUCGUCUCCAUGGGAACCUACGAAGUCUAUAUGAUGUACAUUCAGAGUUCUAAACACUUAAAACACCAGUCAAACACCUGGUUGAAUCAGUCAUUAUAAUUGGACUGUAUGUUGGGGUGUAUAAAUGUAUCUAACUACACAUUAAACACUGAGACCUGUAGGGGUGUAUCAAUGUUCCUGUGGUGUUGAUGGUCUUCACUGUAGUAGACUGGAUCAGCUCCUCUGUCCCUCACUCAUCUCUCUCUCCUCUCUCUUUACCUUGUGACCCUGUUCAUCAGAACGUCAUGCUGGGUGGAAAAAUAUGCUCUCUUCAGCAGCGGUGAAUAACCACAACCCUGUCAGUCCAUCUCUUUACUUCCCAGUUCUCUUAUCUUCUCUCUCCCCCCUUCCGUUUUCACACCAACGCACUAUCUUUAGACUCUGCAGCCUUGACCGCCAUCAACAGAAUCAGCAACAGAGAGGUGUGAAGUUUCCACAACAGAGUUAGAGUCAGUUUAUCAUGUACUUCUCUUUAGACGCUGCAGCCUUGACCUCCAUCAACAGAGUUAGAGUCAUUUUAUCAUGAGAACAUACAGACACCACUGACUGGAACCAGCUGACAGUAUCAGUUGUAAAGGCUUCAUUACUACUAAUAGAAGGAAAGUUGUAGUGUUAUGUCCAUGAUGAAUGAUGUAAAGGCUUCAUUACUACUAACAGAAGGAAAGUUGUAGUGUUAUGUCCAUGAUGAAUGAUGUAAAGGCUUCAUUACUACUAAUAGAAGGAAAGUUGUAUUGUUAUGUCCAUGAUGAAUGAUGUAAAGGCUUCAAUGUGAAAUGUGAAAUUGUAUUUUUCUAUAAUGUCAUUGUGUGUGUUUACCUUGAGCAACACCGUUGUAUGGUUACCAACUUGUCAAAUAAAGCUUCCUAAAAUGUGUUAGAAAAUGCGUCAGUGUCACGUCCUGACCAUAGAAAGAUGUUAUUUUCUAUGGUAGAGUAGGUCAGGGCAUGACAGCGGGUGUUUUGUGUUUUUCUAUGUUUUGUAUUUCUAUGUUUAGGUUCUAGUUUUCUAUUUCUAUGUUGUUUUUUUGGGAUGUUCUCCAAUGUCUCUAAUUGGAGAUCAUACUUAAGUAGGG
rnacentral:lncRNA from 1 species